UGGGGAAUAUUGGACAAUGGGCGAAAGCCUGAUCCAGCAAUGCCGCGUGAGUGAUGAAGGCCUUAGGGUUGUAAAGCUCUUUUACCCGGGAUGAUAAUGACAGUACCGGGAGAAUAAGCCCCGGCUAACUCCGUGCCAGCAGCCGCGGUAAUACGGAGGGGGCUAGCGUUGUUCGGAAUUACUGGGCGUAAAGCGCACGUAGGCGGCUUUGUAAGUUAGAGGUGAAAGCCCGGGGCUCAACUCCGGAAUUGCCUUUAAGACUGCAUCGCUAGAAUUGUGGAGAGGUAAGUGGAAUUCCGAGUGUAGAGGUGAAAUUCGUAGAUAUUCGGAAGAACACCAGUGGCGAAGGCGGCUAUCUGGACGGUUUCUGACACUAAGACGCGAAAGCGUGGGGAGCAAA
rnacentral:rRNA from 1 species